UAAGAAAAAGAAGUAUUUCCUGAACUGCCUGUUCUUUCAGCAUUGGAACUUACUACUUGAAUUAUUACGACUGUAGAAAAGCAAUACAAUUUCUGUUGAUUUUUUUCUCUUGGUCUGGCAAUGAGGAUCUCAAGACAUCUGAGUAUGAGUCAGACACUGUCUAGAUCAAAGGUGCUCUGACCACUUUAAUUAUUUAGGAUGUUUAGCCAUCUAAUUCGUUCAUGGCUGAAUUUUUUCUUAUGACAUCGUGGCAGUAGUUAAAGACAGAGAUGAUUUGGAACCAUCAAGCUGUGGAAUAGCUAGCCUCCGUAUCUAGCUGAAGGAUUCUAAUGGAGCCUACUGGAAUAUCUGCUGGGCUGCAAUGCUGGUUCCGGUUAACAUCUACAAGGCACGUCUUGUGAUUAGUGACUCAGCCUGGGAGUUGUAUUACUGAACUGUCCAAAUCAUUUAACAUUUUAAGAGGACCAAGUGAAGCCAUCUUAGAAAAGUGUUGGAAACUCAAAUACGUUACAUCUGGAUUAAUGCAUCAGAACUGGAAAAGAAAGCUGACUUUACACAGAAAGUGAAGAUGACCUGCCCAGUUUCAUUAUCUGAACUGGGUGACAUGCACAAAGUGAACAACUACGUAAAGUGGAACCAUGUAAAAUGGAACAAGUCCAGUCCCACAAACAGUUACUGUCGGCCUUGCUGCUAACCACUGAGAGUGAGUAGCACUGAGCUUGGAAGAGGCAUCUGGUGCUGCUGAAAACACAUCUGAACACUUCCCAUUUGGUCUGCCAUUAAAUAUCUUAGUACAGCUGUUCUGAACAUCCCAUCCCAAGCUGGAAUAGGAAGAGAAGUCCAGCCAGCCAUUUCCCCUGUUGCCAGCCGUAAGGAUCUUCCGGAAGUUAUCAACAUCCGUCCUGAAUUGUGGGUACCAGAAUUGGACACAGUGUAGCAGAAGUGGUUGUACCAGUGCAAAAUAUAAAGGUA